GUUCCCCAUCGAGGGAAAUAGUUUUUUCCCAAUGAGACGCAGACCUUGUCUUGUCUCCUUUUCUUGUUUCCCAAAAAAGGCAAAGGUAUUCGUCCAGUGAUAAAUUUGAGACAGCUCAAUAGUUAUGAGCAUAUCAGCACUUCCAAGAUGGACGGAGGGCAUUGCUUAAGGGAUCUUCUCCAACCAGCAGAUUGGAUGGCCAAA